AAAGGAAUUGACGGGGGCCCGCACAAGCGGUGGAGCAUGUGGUUUAAUUCGAUGCAACGCGAAGAACCUUACCAGGGCUUGACAUCCCCCUGACCGGCAUAGAGAUAUGCCUUUCCCUUCGGGGACAGGGGUGACAGGUGGUGCAUGGUUGUCGUCAGCUCGUGUCGUGAGAUGUUGGGUUCAGUCCCGCAACGAGCGCAACCCUUGUCUUUAGUUGCCAGCACGUUCAGGUGGGCACUCUAAAGAGACAGCCGGUGAAAGCCGGAGGAAGGUGGGGAUGACGUCAAAUCAUCAUGCCCCUUAUGUCCUGGGCUACACACGUGCUACAAUGGCUGGUACAACGGGUCGCGAAACCGUGAGGUGGAGCCAAUCCCUAAAAGCCAGUCUCAGUUCGGAUCGUAGGCUGCAACUCGCCUACGUGAAGCCGGAAUCGCUAGUAAUCGCGGAUCAGCAUGCCGCGGUGAAUACGUUCUCGGGCCUUGUACACACCGCCCGU
rnacentral:rRNA from 1 species